GCAUCCGUAGCUCAGCUGGAUAGAGUACUCGGCUACGAACCGGAGCGGUCGGAGGUUCGAAUCCUCCCGGAUGCACCA
rnacentral:tRNA from 1 species